CGGCUAAACUCUUGUGCCAGCAGCCNCCGGUAAUACAAAAGGUCUCAAGCGUUGUUCGGAUUCAUUGGGCGUAAAGGGUGCGUAGGCGGCGGGGCAAGUCGNAUGUGAAAUCUCAGGGCUCAACCCUGAAACUGCAUUCGAUACUGCCUUGCUCGAGGACUGGAGAGGAGAUUGGAAUUCACGGUGUAGCAGUGAAAUGCGUAGAUAUCGUGAGGAAGACCAGUGGCGAAGGCGGAUCUCUGGACAGUUCCUGACGCUGAGGCACGAAGGCCAGGGGAGCAAACGGGAUUAGAUACCCCGGUAGUCCUGGCAGUAAACGGUGCACGUUUGGUGUGGGAGGAUUCGACCCCUUCCGUGCCGGAGCUAACGCGUUAAACGUGCCGCCUGGGGAGUACGGUCGCAAGAUUAAAACUCAAAGAAAUUGACGGGGGCCCGCACAAGCGGUGGAGUAUGUGGCUUAAUUCGAUGCAACGCGAAGAACCUUACCAGGCCUUGACAUGCAUCUAUAAGUCGGUGAAAGCCGGCGACUCUCGCAAGAGAGAAUUUGCACAGGUGCUGCAUGGCUGUCGUCANC
rnacentral:rRNA from 1 species